GCGGCAGUAGCUCAGUGGUAGAGCCCCGCUUCGCAUGCGGGGAGACCUGGGUUCGGUUCCCGGUUGCUUCC
rnacentral:tRNA from 1 species